UGCCUACGGGACGCAGCAGUGAGGAAUAUUGGUCAAUGGCCGGCAGGCUGCACCAGCCAAGUCGCGUGAGGGAAUAAGGCCCUAUGGGUCGUAAACCUCUUUUGUCAGGGAGCAAAGGCGUCCACGUGUGGACGAGAGGAGAGUACCUGAAGAAAAAGCAUCGGCUAACUCCGUGCCAGCAGCCGCGGUAAUACGGAGGAUGCGAGCGUUAUCCGGAUUUAUUGGGUUUAAAGGGUGCGUAGGCGGCGAGGCCAGUCAGCGGUCAAAUUUCGGGGCUCAACACCGUCGUGCCGU
rnacentral:rRNA from 1 species